rnacentral:rRNA from 1 species
GACGUAGGGCGCGAGCGUUGUCCGGAUUUAUUGGGCGUAAAGAGCUCGUAGGCGGCUUGUUGCGUCGACUGUGAAAACCUGCGGCUCAACCGUGUGGUCUGCAGUCGAUACGGGCAGGCUGGAGUUCGGUAGGGGAGACUGGAAUUCCUGGUGUAGCGGUGAAAUGCGCAGAUAUCAGGAGGAACACCCAUAGCGAAGGCAGCUUGCUGGGACGUUACUGACGCUAAGGCGCGAAAGCGUGGGGAGCGAACAGG